rnacentral:lncRNA from 10 species
CAGAGGCCAAUGAAAACACCUUCUCCACAGUGAUCCUGUGGGGGAGAGAGUGAGUAAAUGUGAAGACAUAAUUUGUUGGCUCCUCAAUUUCUCCUGACUCUCAGUGGCCGAAUAUACCCUAAUGGUCUGAAAUCCUCAACAUUUCUGGACUGUGUUACCUAGUCCCACCUUGAAAGUAAGGAGACAGAAGAUUCAGUAUCAGAGUGAUGCAACAAGUGGAAGACUUGAAAGGCCGUUGUUGGCUUUGGCGAUGGAAGACCUCUAUGAGCCAAGGAAUGUGGGCAGCCUCAAGAAGCUGGAAAAGUCAAGGAAAUCAUUUCUGUCCUAGAAGAUCCAGAAAGAAACACCGUCCUAUUGAUUCCUCAAUUUUUAAAACAAUGAGGUCCAUUUCAGACUUCUAACUUUCACACUUAUAAGAAAAAUUUGUAUUAAGCCACUAAACUUGCUGCAAUGUGUACAGUAGGAAACUAACAUAUUGGUAGCCUUUAUGAUAUUCCUGUAACUAAAUGCUCUGGACCCCAAAUCAAUAUAGAUCUUAUUAGUGAUGUUUUGCACUGCAGCAAAUAGUUAUUGCAAAAUUAUUGCAAAUGUGUAGUUAUUAAAUCCCCCCCACACACACUUUAGUUAAAC